GGAGCAAAUCCCCAAAAAGUAGUCCCAGUUCGGACUGCAGUCUGCAACUCGACUGCACGAAGUCGGAAUUGCUAGUAAUCGCGGAUCAGCAUGCCGCGGUGAAUACGUUCCCGGGCCUUGUACACACCGCCCGUCACACCAUGGGAGCCGGUAAUACCCGAAGUCAGUAGUCCAACCUCGUGAGGACGCUGCCGAAGGUAGGAUUGGCGACUGGGGUGAAGUCGUAACAAGGUAGC
rnacentral:rRNA from 1 species